UCAAUUAUUCUUCAAUCUUCAUCUCCAUCCUCCAGACAUUAGCAAACCAUCAGCCCUCCCCCAACCUCCCCCACGCCACACCCAACCUUUCAAUCUUCAUUCUUCAAUCUGAAGAUGAAGGGAGGUUGUCUCUACUUUUGAAAGAAAAUGGUAUAGAUGAUGUGGAAGAGAUGACGGAGAUAGUGGUGUGGGUUUACAAUUUUCCAUAGUAGGGGGACGAUGAAGACGGGAAUUAAUUCUCUGGAUGAUGAAGUUGGCUAUGGUAUGGUUGAUAAUUGCGAUGGAAAAAAAAAAAGGAGAGCAAGCUAGGGACGGUGAGGAUUUGGCGGAGACGAGGUUGGUUUGUGUGGCUGCUGGACAAUGGGUUUUUGGAAGAAUGGCUGUUGUGGCCUGCGCUGUAGAGAGGAUGGAUGAACAGUGCUUCGUUUUUUUCUUCUUUUCUUUUUUUUAGGUUUUUUGUUUUUAACUGAAAUUAGAAUAACGAACCGAAACUGAGGAAUGG
rnacentral:lncRNA from 1 species